UACGUAGGGGGCAAGCGUUGUCCGGAAUCAUUGGGCGUAAAGAGCGCGUAGGCGGCCCUGUAAGUCCGCUGUGAAAGUCAAGGGCUCAACCCUUGGAUGCCGGUGGAUACUGCAGGGCUAGAGUCCGGAAGAGGCGAGUGGAAUUCCUGGUGUAGCGGUGAAAUGCGCAGAUAUCAGGAGGAACACCGGUGGCGAAGGCGGAUCUCUGGGCCGUAACUGACGCUGAGGAGCGAAAGCAUGGGGAGCGAACAGG
rnacentral:rRNA from 1 species